rnacentral:rRNA from 1 species
GUGUCAGCAGCCGCGGUAAUACGAAGGGGGCUAGCGUUGUUCGGAAUUACUGGGCGUAAAGGGCGCGUAGGCGGCCGAUUAAGUUAGAUGUGAAAGUCCUGGGCUCAACCUGGGGACUGCAUUUAAUACUGGUUGGCUUGAAUUCGGGAGAGGAUAGCGGAAUUCCCAGUGUAGAGGUGAAAUUCGUAGAUAUUGGGAAGAACACCGGUGGCGAAGGCGGCUAUCUGGACCGACAUUGACGCUGAGGCGCGAAAGCGUGGGGAGCAAACAGGAUUAGAUACCCCUGUAGUCC